rnacentral:rRNA from 1 species
ACACGACUACAUUAGAUACCCCGGUAGUCCUAGCCGUAAACGAUACUCGCUAGGUGUCGGCCACGGUGCGACCGUUGUCGGUGCCGUAGGGAAGCCGUGAAGCGAGCCACCUGGGAAGUACGGCCGCAAGGCUGAAACUUAAGGAAUUGGCGGGGAGCACAACAACGGGUGGAGCUUGCGGUUUAAUUGGAUUCAACGCCGGAAAUCUUACCGGGACCGACAGCAACAUGAAGGCCAAGCUGAAGACUUUGCCGGAUUAGCUG